rnacentral:rRNA from 1 species
CACGUAGGGUGCGAGCGUUGUCCGGAAUUAUUGGGCUUAAAGAGCUCGUAGGCGGUGUGUCGCGUCGGCCGUGAAAACCUGCAGCUUAACUGUGGGCUUGCGGUCGAUACGGGCAUCACUGGAGUUCGGCAGGGGAGACUGGAAUUCCUGGUGUAGCGGUGAAAUGCGCAGAUAUCAGGAGGAACACCGGUGGCGAAGGCGGGUCUCUGGGCCGAUACUGACGCUGAGGAGCGAAAGCGUGGGGAGCGAACAGG